GCAUCGGUGAUUCAGUGGUAGAAUGCUCGCCUGCCACGCGGACGGCCCGGGUUCGAUUCCCGACCGAUGCA
rnacentral:tRNA from 1 species